rnacentral:misc_RNA from 1 species
GUAGGUGAACCUGCGGAAGGAUCAUUAGCGAGAUUGCCACGCACGUGCCGUGUGUAUGUGCGUGUGCAAGCAGCCAUCCUUGUGUUGUGUUUGUGGUGCUGUGUGUGUUUGUGCACACGCGCAUUAUUUUCAACCAUUCCAUCCAUUAUUGUCUAAUACGUCUGCUCACACGAGCACAAACAACCGAAAACUGCCAGCAAUGGAUCACUCGGUUCUC